AACGAACGCUGGCGGCGUGCCUAACACAUGCAAGUCGAACGCGAAAGGGGGCAACCCCCGGUAGCGUGGCAGACGGGUGAGUAACACGUGGGUAACCUACCCGGAGGUGGGGGAUAACCCUUCGAAAGGAGGGCUAAUACCGCAUAAUACCGUGGGGACCUCGGUCCUUGCGAUCAAAGCUGGCCUCUGUUUACAAGCUAGCGCCACCGGAUGGGCCCGCGCCCCAUUAGCUAGUUGGUGAGGUAACGGCUCACCAAGGCGACGAUGGGUAGCCGGCCUGAGAGGGCGAUCGGCCACACUGGAACUGCGACACGGUCCAGACUCCUACGGGAGGCAGCAGUGAGGAAUCUUGCGCAAUGGGCGAAAGCCUGACGCAGCGACGCCGCGUGGAGGAUGAAGGUCUUCGGAUUGUAAACUCCUGUCGAGUGGGACGAAUGCCGUGAGGGUGAAUACCCCUUGCGGUUGACGGUACCGCUGGAGGAAGCCCCGGCUAACUCCGUGCCAGCAGCCGCGGUAAUACGGAGGGGGCUAGCGUUGUUCGGAAUCAUUGGGCGUAAAGGGCGCGUAGGCGGCCGAUCAAGUCGGAGGUGAAAUCCCUCGGCUCAACUGAGGAAUUGCCUUCGAUACUGUUCGGCUUGAGUCCUGGAGAGGGUAGCGGAAUUCCCGGUGUAGCGGUGAAAUGCGUAGAGACCGGGAAGAACACCAGUGGCGAAGGCGGCUACCUGGACAGGUACUGACGCUGAAGCGCGAAAGCUAGGGGAGCAAACAGGAUUAGAUACCCUGGUAGUCCUAGCUGUAAACGAUGGGCACUUGGUGUUGCGGG
rnacentral:rRNA from 1 species